GCCCUGAUAGCUCAGUUGGUAGAGCGCAUCCUUGGUAAGGAUGAGGUCACCAGUUCAAUCCUGGUUCAGGGCUCCAUUU
rnacentral:tRNA from 1 species